CCGUAGCCUGGUAGCGGGGGGUAACUAUUGGAAACGAUAGCUAAUACCGCAUAACAGUAGAUAUCGCAUGAUAGCUGCUUGAAAGGUGCAAAUGCACCACUACCAGAUGGACCUGCGUUGUAUUAGCUAGUUGGUGAGGUAACGGCUCACCAAGGCAACGAUACAUAGCCGACCUGAGAGGGUGAUCGGCCACACUGGGACUGAGACACGGCCCAG
rnacentral:rRNA from 1 species